ensembl:lncRNA
CAUGAAUCUUCUGAGAGAGCAAAACCCAUUGCGCAUAAUUAUUUGCAUUACAUUGUUGAUACAUUACAAAUGAGUAAACAUGAUCUGCAAUGUACAUUUGAAGUCGAAGUUUCCAUACACUUAGGUUGGAGUCAUUAAAACUAGUUUUUCAACCACUCCACAAAUUUCUUGUUAACAAACUAUAGUUCUGUAAGUCGGUUAGGACCUGUACUUUGUGCAUGACACCAGUAAUUUAUACAACAACUGUUUACAGACAGAUUAUCUCACAUAAUUCACUGUAUCACAAUUCCAGUGGGUCAGAAGUUUACAUACACUAAGUUGACUGUGUCUUUAAACAGCUUGGAAAAUUACAGAAAAUGAUGCCAUGGCUUUAGAAGCUUCUGAUAGGCUAAUUGACAUAAUUUUAGUUAAUUGGAGGUGUAAUUGCAGAUGUAUUUCAAGGCCUACCUUCAAACUCCGUGCCUCUUUGCUAGAAAUCAGCCAAGACCUCAGAUGUAAAAAAAUUGUAGAACGCAUGAAGGUACCACGUUCAUCUGUACAAACAAUAGUACGCAAGUAUAAACACCAUGGGACCACGCAGCCGUCAUAUCGCUCAGGAAGAAGACGCGUUCUGUCUCCUAGAGCUGAACGUACUUGUGUGAAACGUGCAAAUCAAUCCCAGUACAACAGCAAAGGACCUUGUGAAGAUGCUGGAGGAAACAGGUCCGAAAGUAUCUAUAUCAACAGUAAAACGAGUCCUAUGUCAACAUAACCUGAAAGGCCACUCAGCAAGGAAGAAGCCACUGCUCCAAACCUCUCUAUAAAAAAGCCAGACUACGGUUUGCAACUGCACAUGGGGACAAAGAUCAUACUUUUUGGAGAAAUGUCCUCUGGUCUGAUGAAACAAAAAUAUAACUGUUUGGCCAUAAUGGCCAUCGUUUGGAGGAAAAAGGCCAAGCCAAAGAACACGGUGAAGCAUGGGGGUGGCAGCAUCAUGUUGUGCGGGUGCUUUGCUGCAGGAGGGACUGGUGCACUUCACAAAAUAGAUGGCAACAUAAGGGAGGAAAAUUAUGUGGAUAUAUUGAAGCAACAUCUCAAUGGGUCCAAAUGGACAAUGACCCCAAGCAUACUUCCAAAGUUGUGGCAAAAUGGCUUAAGGACAACAAAGUCAAGGUAUUGGAGUGACCAUCACAAAGCCAUGAUCUCAAUGCUAUAGAAAAUUUGUGGGCAGAACUGAAAAAGCGUGUGCGAGCAAGGAGGCCUACAAACCUGACUAAGUUACACCAGCUCUGUCAUUAUUGUGGGAAGCUUGUGGAAGUCUACCCAAAACGUUUGACCCAAGUUAAACAAUUUAAAAAGGCAAUUCUGCCAAAUACUAAUUGAUUGUAUGUAAACUUCUGACCAACUGGGAAUGUGAUAAAAUAAAUCAAAUAAAUAAUUCUCUACUAUUAUUCUGACAUUUCACAUUCUUAAAAUAAACUGGCCUAAAACGGGGAAUUUUUAUUAUGAUUAAAUGUCAGGAAUUGUGAAAAACUGAGUUUAAAUGUAUUUGGCUAAGGUGUAUGUAUGCUUCAACUGACUUCAACUGUAUCUGUGAAGGAACUGGCCGUACACACUGGCCAUGCACACUAAGAGGCUUAUUAAAAUGGUAAAUGGACUGGAAACAUUUUCUAAAUCUGUAAAUAAUUAUUGUAAAACAGAUAGGUUAAAAUACAGGCGAUUGAUCCAAGAUGGCGUAGCAGUCGGACGUCGUUUUCCUCAUUUUUUUCUAAUUUUCCAUCUACGAACUGAAUAUACUUUCUUGCAACCCGCCUCACCCAAUGUCAUACGGUUCUGCUAUUUUUAUACUUUAGAAUCGGAACCCCCAUCAGAAGCUAGCCAGCUAACUAGCUAGUAGUCAGUUAGCCCCUGCUAGCGGUCUUCACCGUUAACUCUGACACCAGCCAGCUUCAGCUCGGUCAAUACCUGCCAGUCUGCACAGCGCGAUAUCAACCCAGAGCAUAUCAGACUGCUUUUUCUCUACCUCAUCACCGGAUUCUUGCAGCAAGCCCUGGACCAUUACACCGGAUCGUCACAGCUAGCUAGCUGCAAUCGAGUGGCUAUUGCUGGUUAACACACCUGUCCCGAAGCAAGCACCAGUUAGCCUUGAGCUAGCUUCGAGCUAGGCCUUCUCCCGGCUAGCCGAAGAAGUCUACCAGCUAAUUCUUGGUCUACUAUACCUCUUUUGCCAAUUGGCAUGGACCCUUUAUUGCCAACACGGAACCCCACCGAUCUAUCACGACUGGUCUGCCGACGUAAUCGUCCGACGUGUUUUCAGCAGGCUUUUCCGUUGCGACGUUGCCGAAGCCCAUCUGCUAUCCUCGGCCCACUAGCUCUGAAUCGCCAUGUCUCCAGCUCGCCUAGCGUAGUAGUGGCUACCGAAGGCUCCCUGACUCAUUGGACCCUAUGAUCACUCGGGUAUACAUGCCUCUCCCUAAUGUCAAUAUGCCUUGUCUAUUGUUGUUUUGGUUAGUUAUUGUCUUAUUUUACUGUAGAGCCCCCAGCCCUGCCCAACAUGCCUUAGAGAGCCCUUUUGUCCCACCUCCCCCCACACAUGCGGUGACCUCACAUGGCUUAACUGGUGCCUCUAGAGACAAAACCUCUCAUCGUCACUCAAUGCCUAGGUUUACUCCACUGUUCCCACAUCCUACCAUACCCUUGUCUGUACAUUAUGCCCUGAAUCUAUUCUACCAUGCCCAGAAAUCUGACACUUUUACUCUCUGUUCCAAACGCACUAGGCAACCAGUUCUUAUAGCUUUUAGCCGUACCCUUAUCCUACUCCUCCUCUGUUCCUCUGGUGAUGUCGAGGUUAACCCAGGCCCUGCAGCCCCCAGCACCACACCUGUUCUCCAGGCGCUCUCAUUUUUUGACUUCUGUAACCAUAAAAGCCUUGGUUUCAUGCAUGUUAACAUCAAAAGCCUACUCCCUAAGUUUGUUUUAUUCACUGCUUUAGCACACUCCGCCAACCCUGAUGUCUUAGCCAUGUCCAAAUCCUGGCUUAGGAAGGCCACCAAAAAUUCUUACAUUUCCAUCCCCAAAUACAGCAUUUUCCAACAAGAUAGAACUGCCAAAGGGGGCGGAGUUGCAAUCUACUGCAGCGAUAGCCUGUAGAGUUCUGUCAUACUAUCCAGGUCUGUGCCCAAACAAUUCGAGCUUCUACUUUUAAAAAUCCACCUUUCCAGAAACAAGUCUCUCACCGUUGCUGCUUGUUAUAGACCCCCAUCAGCCCUUAGCUGUGCCCUGGACACCAUAUGUGAAUUGAUUGCCCCCCAUCUUUCUUCAGAGUUCGUACUGAUAGGUGAACUAAAUGUAUAACACCCUGGCCAUCCUACAAUCUAAGCUAGAUUCCCUCAAUCUCACACAAAUUAUCAAGGAACCUACCCGGUACAACCCUAAAUCCGUAACCAUGGGCACCCUCUUAGAUAUCAUCCUGACCAACUUGCCCUCUAAAUACACCUCUGCUGUCUUCAACCAGGAUCUCAGCGAUCACUGCCUCAGUAAUGGGUCCGCGGUCAAACGACCACCCCUCAUCACUGUUAAUACCCUCGUAAAACUGACUAUACUACCGAUCCUUGACUUCGGCGAUGUCAUUUACAAAAUAGCCUCCAACACUCUACUCAGCAAACAGUGCCAUCUGUUUUGUCACCAAAGCCCCAUAUACUACCCACCUGUGUCCUGUAUGCUCUCGUUGGCUGGCCCUCGCUACAUAUUCGUCGCCAAACCCACUGGCCCCAGGUCAUCUAUAAGCCUUUGCUAGGUAAAGCCCCACCGUAUCUCAGCUCACUGGUCACCAUAGCAACACCCACCCGUAGCACGUGCUCCAGCAGGUGUAUUUCACUGGUCAUCCCCAAAGCCAACACCUACUUUGGCCACUCUUCCUUCCAAUUCUCUGCUGCCAACGACUGGAACGAAUUGCAAAAAGCUGGAGACUUAUAGCUCCCUCUCUCUCUCUAACUUUAAGAUUCAACUGUCAGAGCAGCUUACCAAUCACUGUACCUGUACAGAGCCAAUCUGUAAAUAGCACACACACAACUACUUCAUCCCCAUAUUGUUGUCAAUCUUUUUGCUCUUCUGCACCCCAGUAUCUCUACUUGCACAUCAUCAUCUGCACAUCUAUCACUCCAGGGUUAAUGCUAAAUUGUAAUUAUUUCACCUCUAUGGCCUAUUUAUUGCUUUACCUCCCUAAUCUUCUACAUUUGCUCACACUGUACAUUUUUACUGUUGUGUUACUGACUGUAUGUUUUGUUUAUGCCAUUUGUAACUGUUGUUUUUUGUCGCACUGCUUUGCUUUAUCUUGGCCAGGUCGCAGUUGUAAAUGAGAACUUGUUCUCAACUGGCCAACCUGGUUAAAUAAAGAUUUUGGCCAUGACCGGACCUGUGAGGAGAAACUGUCAGCACGAGUGUACCAACCUGAACAGGACCGGCUUCAUCUGCUCCUGUAGACCUGGAUACAGAGUGGACCCGGACAGCACCUUCAACUGCAUAGGUACACACAAAGACAUUCUCACUAGGGUUGAGCCAAUUUAGUCGUCUGGUCGAUAGGCUGUUUGACCGAGAUUUCUUUAGUUGAGCAAAAAAUAAAUAAAUCAUGGUGUACAAGACACCUGUCUGAGUGGACUACUCCAUUGUAGAGGCUGUGGGGAUGGUGCAGUCCAUCACUAAGGCAUGUGCUACUGAAAUUGUAUAUGGUUAAGGACAAUGGUACAAGACUAAUAUUUUUUUAUAUAUAUUUUGUAACAAAUGCGCUUUCUCCCUCGUUUGAUAGUGGUCUGCUGUUCUGAAACAUGAGUGUGCCUUUGAAUUGGUGCCUUUUCCUAGACCAUGUUGCUAUGUGCAUAAUAGCAAAGUUAACCAGUAUAUUGGUGUUGAGAACAAUGUGGUGGAGGCAGCAGCAGAGUUAGGAGACGAGAAAACAGCCCUUGCCUUAAUUGUCUAAGAAAAGUGAGGAGAGAGGAAACCCAAACUUAAUUAGGUCUAUAAUCAAUAGCCUAACUGUUAAAUGUGCCUGUUUUUUUUAAUCAUCCAUAUAUAGUUUAUCUACAGAAAUAAGACAUCCUGCUUGUGUUGCCUGUUUGAGUGUUUGUUUAAUAGCCUACUGAUUCCGUGAGUACCAAGCGUCAUGCAAGACAACAUGUCGGAUAAACAAUUUGACAAAUUCGGCUGUUUUUAAUAUUUGCUGUGCUAUAAUUUCUCAUUAGAACAGACUCUCUGGUAUUACUUGUUUUAGUUUUUAUACUGUUGUCAGGAAAAUAAUAUUUCUAAUAACAAUAAGCCUCCUUUUCUUGAUCUCCUUGUUAUUGUUAUUUUCAUGAUCAUCGUUAUAAGUAAUGUCAUUAUCAUUAGCAGGGUUAGUAGUUUAUAAGCUAUAUGGAAUUGUUUUAAGGUCAUACCAAGGAUAAUUUUGCUAUUAGAUUUUUUGAAUUUUAAGACGCAUUGAAGUAUCAAAAAAAUAUAUUACAAAAAAUAUUACAAAAUUAAUUUUUGGGCCUUACUGCUAUUAGCCCAUUCAAACGCAUUGAAUAACAGAUUCAUUACACAGAACAGCAGAUAGGACAGACACUUUUGAUUUUGUUUGGGACUAUAUCUCAGAGAUGUAAGAAAGAUCAGGAAACAUUUUGUUGUACAUGUAUUUAACCUCUUAUUUUUGUCACUAAACAGUGUCCAUAUACUGUUUUGUUUCAACUAGUACAAUGGGACCUUCAGACUAGUCUUUUGAGGCCUAGAGCAUAACAAGACUCUCACCUUUACACAGAGGGGUCAUAUUAGUGUGUAGCCCAAACCGUUUGGGCGCUACAGACAGAUGUUGGCAAAUCGGUUGUACCGACUGCAGAUGAGUCCCAAGACGCUUGUGGGGGUAUCAUAGAGCAAGAUUCUCAUCUUUCCAUAGAGGGGUCAUAAUAGUUCCUAGGCCAAACCAUUCCGACUCUACAGACUAUUUUGUGAGUAUACCGAUCUUCGGGUCAUCGUGUUCGGACAAACACCGUUCUAGUUCUAUCACCUUUCACUGCAGCUACGGAAGUGUUACUUAGGCGGAUGCGGUCGACUGAAAUGCGUCCAAUGUCAAACUGAUAUCUCUAGCUUAAACUGACAGACUUUAAUGGGGGGUUUUGUACCAUGCGAGUUUGAUUUCCACGAGGGCGCGGACAUCGACCUUAAUUAUUUAAUCAGACAGAGCGCUUAAAGCACCAGACAAGCUCAGUGCAUAUAGUUGAUUUGAUUAAAACUCAUAGGAUGUGUCUAUAUAUGGACAAAUACAUGUUUAAAAAAUGUUUGACCUAUCACGAUACAUACACACUCCAGAAUUCACUUAAAAAUUCAACUUAGACUACACCCACACAGACAUUAACAACAUGAAUAUGGUUUAUUAACUGGAUCGUUCACUUCAUUCCAUCUCUUCCUUGUAGAGUUGUUGUUCACUGAAAACAAUGAAACACAAUCAACGCAGCGUAGAUAACCCUCUGAAAGAACAUGAAUCAAAGUGUUUAUUGUAAAAAAGCAGCAUUAGUACAACUCCUUUUUGUGGUUAUAUACAGUAUUGGUCAAUUCUUUGUCCAAAACAUGUUUUGCUUAGAAAAUAACAUUUAUGUCCAUGUUUACAAUAUGAGGGGCAAACUCACUUCCUGACAUGCACCCACCCCUACCCAGACCUUGCUACCCUAUAAACAAUAACAAGCACAUAGUUACUUAACUUUCUACCAAAAUUUUCCCCAGAUAUCAACGAGUGUGAGGCACAUGGGACUUGCCCGCAGGUCUGCAAGAACACCAAGGGCGGGUACGACUGUGAGUGUGCCCCCGGGUACCGCAAAGUGGGCAAUGGCAACCAGUGUGAAGCUGAGGGUGCCGGGCCUCUCCUGUUGCUCCCAGAGAAUAUCCGUAUCCGGAAGUUCAACUUGCAGAUGGAGGCCUACCAUGACUUCCUCGAGGAGCAGGAGCACAUCAUGGCUCUGGACUAUGACUGGGACCACAACAACACUGGACUCAGUAUGGUGUAUUUCACAGUGGAGGGGAAGGACAGUGCAGCAGGCGCCAUCAAGAGGGCAUAUAUACCCACAGUGGAUGACAAUAGCAACAAUAUUGCCGCCGCUGUCGACCUGGGCAUCAAAUACAUUACCACACCAGAUGGCAUCGCUGUUGACUGGGUCGGAAGGAACCUUUACUGGGCGGACUCGAGAGUCAAGAGGGUAGAGGUGGCCAUGCUGGACGGGCGCUACAGGAAGCACCUGGUCAAGACGGACAUUGACCAUCCCUCUGCUGUGGCUGUCAAUCCUCGACUGGGGAUGCUGUACUGGGCGGACCGCGGAACCGCGGCCAGGAUCGAGUACUCUUGGUUGGACGGGCAGCACCGGAAUGUCCUGGUGCCCGAAGGCCUGGGUUUUCCCACAGGCCUGUCAAUCGACUACGCCAACGGUGACCGGGUCUACUGGUCCGAUGCCAAGGAGUCGCAUUGAGUCGGUGCUACCUUCCGGAGAAGACCGCCGCACUGCACUGUAUAUUGAUGUGCGGUACCCUUUCAGUGUGAGUGUGUUUGAGGACCACAUUUACUGGAGCACGCAGGAGAAAGGGGAAGUGUUCCGACAGGACAAGUUUGGCCGUGGCACCAAGACCAAGCUGCUCACCGCUGGGUCCUGGCUCACCCAGAUCAGUGUGUACCAGCAGCAGAGAUACAACUCAAUAGGCAUGAAAACCCCUUGUAAAGGGACCUGUAGUCACUUGUGUCUGCUCAGACCUGGAGGCUACACCUGCGCCUGCCCUGAGGGAUCCAGCUUUGUCUCUGGCAGCAACACAGACUGUGAUGCAGGAUUUGACCCUCCACCCACCAUGCCCCCUCCAUGCCAGUGUAUAAAUGGCGGAACAUGCUACUUUGAUGACAACAAGGCCAUGUGCAUGUAAGUUGGCUAAUGGCAGGGAGACUUUUGCGAGAUAAACAUAUUUGGGGUGGUCGCAUCUUCAGUGGGUAUAGCCAUCGGGGUGACUGUACUGAUAGUACUUCUCCUUGGGGGUCUGGUCUAUGCUGCCCAGAGGAAGGCCAGUGUCACGGAGACAAUAAGCCGCAUCAUGCCAAGUAUGCCUAGCUUCAGGGGUUCCCCAUAUCAAAGCUCUGACCCAUCAAAGGAGGAGGGGAGUGACCCGGGCCCAAGCAUCAAAGCGGAGCCCUGUACUGCUGUUCCUAUGGAGGAGGCAGGGGGGAAGAGUUUUGAGAACCCCGCCUAUGCAGCUGAGGGGGAUGAGAGACCUGCCCCUAACGGCAUCACUACUGCCAUCCUUGUGCCCAAUGGGACAGCAAUGGAGAACAUUGAGAACCCGUUGUAUGCUGAGGUUCGUGUGAUAGCUGAGCCUGACCCUGAGCCCGACGCUAGCACCACACCUGCUAAUACUUUAUCAGUCGAGGGGGCCUUUGAGAAUCCAGGUGAGGAACUGACUCCCGAGGAACCAGUCGCCGACGAGUCACUAAAGUUCGAACCCAUUCCUGAUGACAAUGCCGACGACAGUUUCAUAAACCCAAUGUUCUCGGAUCCCACUUACCCAUCCACCCCAGCAGACUCCUUCAUUUGACCUCCACACCAGGCAAAUCAGUGGACAAAACAGGACUAAACUGAACACUAGGACUAAAUCAUACCUCUCCCACCUUUCCCUGGUUGUAAAAUGGGUUAUUAAAGCUAACCUACUGUCAUUUUUUCCUAAAUAUAUUUCAUGAUGCAAUGAUGUGCCAAAUAUGUGAUUUAGUGUAUUAUUAUCGGGUAAGCAUUAGAAUAAUGUCUCUAC